GCCCAGUGAAAUUUUUUAACGGCCGCGGUAUUCUGACCGUGCAAAGGUAGCAUAAUCACUUGUCUUUUAAAUAAAGAAUAGAAUGAACGGCAAGACGAGGUAUCCACGUCUCCUUUAUUUAAUCAAAGAAACUGAUCUCCCUGUGAAAAAGCAGGGAUAGUUUUACAAGACGAGAAGACCCUAUGAAGCUUAAAUACACAAUUAGUUAACAACUUAUUUAGUAUAAGCUAUUAACACUACUAAUUAUUAAAUUUGGUUGGGGUGACCACGGAGAAAGAAAAACCUCCGAGAAAUAGAAUCAAGAAAAACUAUUCAAAGUUAAAUUAAACCACUUGACCCAAUUGUAUUGAUCAACGAAACAAGUUACUCUAGGGAUAACAGCGCAAUAUUCUCCAAGAGCCCCUAUCGACGAGAAAGUUUACGACCUCGAUGUUGGAUCAGGAUACCCAGACAAUGCAGCCGUUGUCAUAGGUUUGUUUGUUCAACAAUUAAAAUCCUACGUGAUCUGANU
rnacentral:rRNA from 1 species